UGAACUGUAGCUCAGUGGUGGAGCAUCUGUGUUGAAUGCAGAAAAUCCCAAAUUCAAUCCCUGGCAGCUCCA